rnacentral:rRNA from 1 species
AGAGUUUGAUCCUGGCUCAGGAUGAACGCUGGCGGCGUGCUUAACACAUGCAAGUCGAACGAAGCACCUGGUCGCGAUCCCUUCGGGGUGACGACCUUGUGACUGAGUGGCGGACGGGUGAGUAACGCGUGGGAAACCUGCCAUGUACUGGGGGAUAACAGUUGGAAACGGCUGCUAAUACCGCAUAACACUGUUGGAUCGCAUGAUCUGAUAGCCAAAACUCCGGUGGUACAUGAUGGUCCCGCGUCUGAUUAGGCAGUUGGCGGGGUAAUGGCCCACCAAACCGACGAUCAGUAGCCGACCUGAGAGGGUGACCGGCCACAUUGGGACUGAGACACGGCCCAGACUCCUACGGGAGGCAGCAGUGGGGAAUCUUCCGCAAUGGGCGAAAGCCUGACGGAGCAACGCCGCGUGAGUGAAGAAGGUCUUCGGAUCGUAAAGCUCUGUUGUCGGGGACGAAGGGGCAGAUCAGGAAAUGGGUCUGCUUAGACGGUACCUGACGAGGAAGCCACGGCUAACUACGUGCCAGCAGCCGCGGUAAUACGUAGGCGGCAAGCGUUGUCCGGAAUCAUUGGGCGUAAAGGGAGCGCAGGUGGGACGGUAAGUCUUUCUUAAAAGUGCGGGGCUCACCCCCGUGAGGGGAAAGAAACUAUCGUUCUUGAGUGCAGGAGAGGAAAGCGGAAUUCCUAGUGUAGCGGUGAAAUGCGUAGAUAUUAGGAAGAACACCAGUGGCGAAGGCGGCUUUCUGGACUGUAACUGACACUGAGGCUCGAAAGCCAGGGGAGCGAACGGGAUUAGAUACCCCGGUAGUCCUGGCCGUAAACGAUGGAUACUAGGUGUAGGAGGUAUCGACCCCUUCUGUGCCGGAGUUAACGCAAUAAGUAUCCCGCCUGGGGAGUACGGUCGCAAGAUNNAAACUCAAAGGAAUUGACGGGGGCCCGCACAAGCGGUGGAGUAUGUGGUUUAAUUCGACGCAACGCGAAGAACCUUACCAGGGCUUGACAUUGAUCGAAAGCGCCAGAGAUGGUGCCCUCUCUUCGGAGACGAGAAAACAGGUGGUGCAUGGNUGUCGUCAGCUCGUGU